rnacentral:rRNA from 1 species
UGGGGAAUCUUGCGCAAUGGGCGAAAGCCUGACGCAGCGACGCCGCGUGGGUGAUGAAGGCCUUCGGGUUGUAAAGCCCUGUGGGGAGGGACGAAUAACGUCAGCCUAAUACGCUGAUGGAUGACGGUACCUCCUUAGCAAGCACCGGCUAACUCUGUGCCAGCAGCCGCGGUAAGACAGAGGGUGCAAACGUUGUUCGGAAUUACUGGGCGUAAAGCGCGUGUAGGCGGUCGGGCAAGUCGGAUGUGAAAGCCCCGGGCUCAACCCGGGAAGUGCAUUCGAUACUGCUUGGCUAGAGUACUGGAGAGGAUGGUGGAACUCUCGGUGUAGAGGUGAAAUUCGUAGAUAUCGAGAAGAACACCGGCGGCGAAGGCGGCCAUCUGGACAGAUACUGACGCUGAGACGCGAAAGCGUGGGGAGCAAACAGG